rnacentral:misc_RNA from 1 species
AAGAUUUAAAAUAGGUCCAACGACGAUAAUAUGAGAUCCCAAAUUGAAAUGAUUACAACAUGGUCCUUAGCCCAAUAAACUGAAAAGGUGUGACUCCUAGAUUUGGAAAAGAUGAUUCAAUAAAUUGUAUAAAACUAUAAAUGGAAUUGCUGAAAGUUCAUACUGUCACCAGUAGAGAGGGGUGUGGGUUAUGGAACUAUGACCACGUUUAGAAACUCCAGUGCUAGUAUCCCCAGGUUCAUUCUUUCUGCCUAUGAUUUUCAAGGUUUAGUUCUGGAAGCAGUGUUGUAUUUACUGGCUUAGAUAAAUGGUUUAAUAGUACCCUGGUGUAAGAAUUAACAAAAUUUAUAUUGUGUUGUGAUGGUAAUUGAUGAUGGCUUGAUAAACAACUGCAAAACAAUCCUACAUUAUGCAACAAGUUGAAGCUUCUUUAGUAUUUAUUUAAACCAAUCCUAAAUUCUGAACUUGUGGUUCAUAUGACAUCUUGUCCUAUCUCAUAACAUCUAGCUUUAUUGGGUCUCUGUGAAAUUCUUUUGCUUCCAUGUCCCUAUCCUCUAACAGCACAUGCUGUACUCUUAUUUGAACCUGGUUCUUAUGCUGGGGUGAUACUGAUAACUUAAGUUGGUGUUAAUUGUAGUUUCUGACCAUCAAUAAUUGCCUGUUAGCCCUUUUUGUAUUAGGCAGUAACAAUUCUCUUGUUUUUUCUACUUUCAAGUUUCAAAUUCUUCUCUGUACAUAUCUUGUGACUUGAGGUCCUAUUAUAGUUAGUUUCUGACCAUGAAUAAUCGCUUGUUGGCCUUUUUUUUU